rnacentral:rRNA from 1 species
GANUCAACACGGGGAAACUCACCAGGUCCAGACAUAGUAAGGAUUGACAGAUUGAGAGCUCUUUCUUGAUUUUGUGGGUGGUGGUGCAUGGCCGUUCUUAGUUGGUGGAGUGAUUUGUCUGCUUAAUUGCGAUAACGAACGAGACCUUAACCUACUAACUAGCCCGUAUUGCUUUGGCAGUACGCUGGCUUCUUAGAGGGACUAUCGGCUCAAGCCGAUGGAAGUUUGAGGCAAUAACAGGUCUGUGAUGCCCUUAGAUGUUCUGGGCCGCACGCGCGCUACACUGACGGAGCCAGCGAGUACUCCCUUGGCCGAAAGGCCUGGGUAAUCUUCUGAAACUUCAUCGUGCUGGGGAUAGUCCUUUGCAAUUAUUGGACUUCAACGAGGAAUUCCUAGUAAGCGUGAGUCAUCAGCUCGCGUUGGUUACGUCCCUGCCCUUUGUACACACCGCCCGUCGCUACUACCGAUUGAAUGGCUUAGUGAGACCUCCGGAUUAGCGACCUAUUGGUGGCAACACCAUCUGGUUGCCGAGAAGCUGGUCAAACUUGGUCAUUUAGAGGAAGUAAAAGUCGUAACAAGGU